rnacentral:rRNA from 2 species
GAUAAACGCUGGCGGCGCACAUAAGACAUGCAAGUCGAACGAACUUAAUUGAGAGCUUGCUCUCAAAGCGGUUAGUGGCGGACUGGUGAGUAACACGUAAGCAACCUGCCUAUUAGAGGGGAAUAACAGCGAGAAAUCGUUGAUAAUACCGCAUAUGCUGUGAGUAUCGCAUGAUACAAGCAGGAAAGGAGCAAUCCGCUAAUAGAUGGGCUUGCGUCUGAUUAGUUAGUUGGUGGGGUAACGGCCUACCAAGACGAUGAUCAGUAGCCGGACUGAGAGGUUGAACGGCCACAUUGGGACUGAGAUACGGCCCAGACUCCUACGGGAGGCAGCAGUCGGGAAUAUUGCGCAAUGGAGGAAACUCUGACGCAGUGACGCCGCGUGCAGGAAGAAGGUUUUCGGAUUGUAAACUGCUUUUAACAGGAAAGAAAAAAAUGACGGUACCUGUUGAAUAAGCUCCGGCUAACUACGUGCCAGCAGCCGCGGUAAUACGUAGGGAGCGAGCGUUAUCCGGAUUUAUUGGGUGUAAAGGGUGCGUAGACGGAAAUGCAAGUUAGUUGUGAAAUACCUCGGCUUAACUGAGGAACUGCAACUAAAACUAUAUUUCUUGAGUAUCGGAGGGGUUUGUGGAAUUCCUAGUGUAGCGGUGAAAUGCGUAGAUAUUAGGAAGAACACCGGUGGCGAAGGCGACAAACUGGACGAUAACUGACGUUGAGGCACGAAAGUGUGGGGAGCAAACAGG